CCUUAGAGAGGGCCCCCUUCUGAAAGAACCAGAGCGAGAGAAGGUUGGAGGAGAGUGAGUGAGAAAGAGAGAGAGGCAGAGGUAUUUAUAGAAAAAUGGGGCUUCGCGCUACCUUUUCUCGCAAAAUAAUCAUUAGAGGACAAAGUGUCCCAGUUUUUGUAUGGGCGCUCCACGAUAGCAGCUAGCUAGGGCUGUGGGCCGACAGAUUUUACCUGCGAUGGGGAGCCUGACUUACAGACCGUCUCCUCUCUCUCCCAGCCUCCUUCUCCUCUUUUGCUCCAUACCUCUGGUUCUUUGAUCCGUGAAAGGGAGACAUCAGCCUACUUGUACACUGAUGUGACCUCCUGAGAGGGUUUGGGUUGUAGGUCUUGGUGGGGGUGCUGGAGCUGGGUACAGGGGCCAGAGAGAGGGUAAGGGCGUGACUGGGCACCAGAGACGGGGACUUUGGGCUGUUGACGGGACGUGUCCUCGCGAACCUUGACCUCUCAGUAGACACCACCAGCGUCAAGAUGAGGCGCUUUCUGAGCCGCAAGGGCCGCUUCUCGCUGCGCCAGAGCAAGUCUGGACCUCGCGGUGCCUCCAAAGAUUUCUAUGAUGCUUUCCGUCAACAAAUGGGCUGUCCUCCAAUGAAUAAUCCAAUGAAUAUCAGUAAGACUUUUAAACUAGUUUCAAGUCCCAGAUCUGGGUUCAAAUACUUUUAGCAUUUUCUUUAGCCUGCCUGGGGUUCCAGAUGGGUGGGGUUUGUAGUUUUGCAACUAUUCCAUUGGUUCCAUUGUGCCAGGCAAGCUCAAUCAUGCCCAGAUAAAGUAUUUCAACCCAGGUCAGUCAAGUACAGCUACAUUGUAGUAGUCUCUUCACUGCCACUUGUCUCCGCCUCUGAGACAAGCAACUGUGAAAAGAGACUACAAUGUAGUUAAACGUAGACUCAGCGAUACAAAUGUACCAUUAGCAGAUCAGGACGACUUCCAAAACAUCAAAGAGCGCGAAGCAAGAGGCAAAUCUCCUCCGCA
rnacentral:lncRNA from 8 species